rnacentral:rRNA from 1 species
AACGAACGCUGGCGGCAGGCUUAACACAUGCGAGUCGAGCGCAUCCUUCGGGGUGAGCGGCAGACGGGUGAGUAACGCGUGGGAAUCUACCUUUUGCUACGGAAUAGCUCCGGGAAACUGGAAUUAAUACCGUAUGUGCCCUUAGGGGGAAAGAUUUAUCGGCAAGAGAUGAGCCCGCGUUGGAUUAGCUAGUUGGUGGGGUAAAGGCCUACCAAGGCGACGAUCCAUAGCUGGUCUGAGAGGAUGAUCAGCCACAUUGGGACUGAGACACGGCCCAAACUCCUACGGGAGGCAGCAGUGGGGAAUAUUGGACAAUGGGCGCAAGCCUGAUCCAGCCAUGACGCGUGAGUGAUGAAGGCCUUAGGGUUGUAAAGCUCUUUCACCGGAGAAGAUAAUGACGGUAUCCGGAGAAGAAGCCCCGGCUAACUUCGUG